GACGAACGCUGGCGGCGUGCCUAACACAUGCAAGUCGAGCGAGUGAAUUUCCUUCGGGAUUGAAGCUAGCGGCGGACGGGUGAGUAACACGUGGGCAACCUGCCUCAUAGAGGGGAAUAGCCUUUCGAAAGGAAGAUUAAUACCGCAUAAGAUUGUAGCUUCGCAUGAAGUAGCAAUUAAAGGAGCAAUCCGCUAUGAGAUGGGCCCGCGGCGCAUUAGCUAGUUGGUGAGGUAACGGCUCACCAAGGCGACGAUGCGUAGCCGACCUGAGAGGGUGAUCGGCCACAUUGGGACUGAGACACGGCCCAGACUCCUACGGGAGGCAGCAGUGGGGAAUAUUGCACAAUGGGGGAAACCCUGAUGCAGCAACGCCGCGUGAGUGAUGACGGCCUUCGGGUUGUAAAGCUCUGUCUUCAGGGACGAUAAUGACGGUACCUGAGGAGGAAGCCACGGCUAACUACGUGCCAGCCGCCGCGGUAA
rnacentral:rRNA from 1 species